rnacentral:tRNA from 1 species
GGCGGCGUGGUGUAAUGGCUAACACAUCAGUCAGGUCUACUGAAGAUGCUGGUUCGCUCCCAGCCGCCGAUU